CCAUGUAAAAAGCACUCGGUCAACUUUGCAGAAUGGUUGGUGUUAGGAAGGACAUUCAACUGUAAACCCCUGCCAAAACACACAGAAGCCUGAUGCAAGCUUCUGCCUGGCCAGCUCCUGUCAAUCCGUCUAACCCAUGCCAGCAUGGAAGGAGGACGUUAAACAAUGAUGCUGAUAAUGUGCAAAAACAUGUCUGA